rnacentral:rRNA from 1 species
UACGUAGGAGGCAAGCGUUGUCCGGAAUUACUGGGUGUAAAGCGCGUGUAGGCGGCACGUUAAGUUUGUGGUGAAAGCGCCCGGCUCAACCGGGCAGAGUCCACAGAAACUGGCGGGCUGGAGGUCGGUAGAGGCAGGUGGAAUUCCCGGUGUAGCGGUGGAAUGCGUAGAGAUCGGGAAGAACAUCAGUGGCGAAGGCGGCCUGCUGGGCUGUUGCUGACGCUGAGGCGCGACAGCGUGGGGAGCAAACAGG